rnacentral:rRNA from 1 species
UCGGUCCCUAUCUGCCGUGGGCGCUGGAGAACUGAGGGGGGCUGCUCCUAGUACGAGAGGACCGGAGUGGACGCAUCACUGGUGUUCGGGUUGUCAUGCCAAUGGCACUGCCCGGUAGCUAAAUGCGGAAGAGAUAAGUGCUGAAAGCAUCUAAGCACGAAACUUGCCCCGAGAUGAGUUCUCCCUGACCCUUUAAGGGUCCUGAAGGAACGUUGAAGACGACGACGUUGAUAGGCCGGGUGUGUAAGCGCAGCGAUGCGUUGAGCUAACCGGUACUAAUGAACCGUGAGGCUUAAACUU